UACAGGGGGGGCAAGCGUUGUUCGGAAUUACUGGGCGUAAAGGGCUCGUAGGCGGCCAACUAAGUCACACGUGAAAUCCCCAGGCUUAACCUGGGAACUGCGUGUGAUACUGGAUGGCUUGAAUUCGGGAGAGGGAUGCAGAAUUCCAGGUGUAGCGGUGAAAUGCGUAGGUAUCUGGAGGAAUACCGGUGGCGAAGGCGGCAUCCUGGACCGACAUUGACGCUGAGGAGCGAAAGCUAGGGGAGCAAACGGG
rnacentral:rRNA from 1 species